UGAGUGGGGCGGUUGGUCGCUUGCCGACUUCGGGCGCGGCAAGAGGAAAGUCCGGGCAACAUAGAGCGCCAUAGUCACUAACGGUGACCGGUCAGUGAUGGUCGAGUAGCGUGACAGAAAAUAACCGCCUUCAUUCGUGGAGGCAAGGGUGAAAAGGCGAGGUAAGAGCUCACCGGGUUUCGCAGCAAUGCGGAGCGCCGCACGCCUUAUGGGUUGCAAGGUCAAGUAUACCGGCAUUUAAGGGUUGCUCGCCCAUUGCCGGGGGGUAGACUGCGAAGAUAAAUGACCGACCACGAUCUCAGGAUUGUGACAUAACCCGGCUUAUAGUUCCGCUCAAUCU
rnacentral:RNase_P_RNA from 1 species